UCUGUUGUCCUUUAAAGUAAAGCAGUAUUCGGAUUUGGGGAUGCUCGUGCCUUCUGGUCACCUAGUUUGGCCGUAGCCAAGCAUAGGGGACGAAUCCCCAAUUUCAUCAUUCCCGCGCAGCAGCCCUCAAUGUUUUCCUCCAUUGCAUUUUCUGUAUAGCAUGCAUUCUCUCACAGCGGAACUGCUGGGUGAAGGCCACACAAUGGACCAAAUCUACAAAGGUUUCAUCCUCUUUAUUGGUUUUCUGAAUAAGGGAGGAGUUUCUGAAAAUCAGUUGUUUGAAUGCUUCGUACUCUCUAUUGGUGUUCUGAACCCAUGAGGAGUACCUGAAAAUAUGCUAUUCUGAGUUGGUGAAGACCGUGAGGAGUAUCCACGAACAAUUGUUGUAAACGUGAUUUUGGAGAGUCGGGGACCGUCCUUUCCGUACGAUCUGUUCCAAGCCUUUUCCCUCUCCAUUGUCAACUAGUGUUAUGCAUUUGGAAGAGCUUGGAAAUUGAAAUUAGAAGAUUUAGAGGGAGCAUUGUUGGAGACAGAAUUUGUUGUACGUGAGUUUUAGAACAACGCCAAACCUUUGUUCCGCCACAACUCUAGGUCUUUGAGUUGAGCUUGCUUGCACUUACCCUACUUGCUCAAUGUGUUAUAUUUCUUAGAGAGUAGAAAGAAGUACAUCGUCAACCCUCAAGCAGAAAAGGUUAUUAAGUUUGAAAGUAACCUGAAGAAUAUGUAGGCAUGCAUGGAGGACUACGAGCAGCAAAUGGCGAGGAUGAAAGAUAGAGAAGAGUGCAUGGAUAACAUCAUAAAGCACUAUGACAUAUGCUGCACCAGUAAACUCGCUCAAAUACUAUGGUGAGUGGCUUUUACUUUACAAUUAGCUUUUUAAUUUUAAGUUGAAACUCAAAUAUGGCAGCAAUACCUUGCAGCGGUAGUUUCGGACAAUUUUUAUGAUGAAUAUUUUGUUUUUAGUGAACUUGAAGACACCUUUUGAUAAAUAUAUUGUUGGAAUAAUGAUUAAAAAUACAUAGUAAUAGAUAGCAUGGUAGAUGAUUAUUUUAAUGUUUAAAAUUUUAUAACUUGUAGUUCUUCAAUUUAAUGCUUUGAUAAUGUGCAUGAGUGCUUUAGAGAAGGGAUGAAAUCAGUAAGCAAUGGGGUGAUUUGAUCUUUGUAUUGGUUGUACUGAAGUAGGUGUUGUGAUUUAGUCUUAGGAGUGGAUUGUUUUGAUGGUAGAAAUGCUCUAUUCAGUGAUUAUGAGUCUUUAUUUGUUGUUUUUCCCUUUGUCUGGUUGUGUUUUAGUGAUUGAAUCUGAAUGAUAGUGUUGCAAAGUUGAGUUUUUGAGUUCCUAGUUUUAAUUCCUUUCAUCGAAUCUGGAAAUGGGAAAGUAAAAAAUAAUGUACGAACUCAAGAACUAGGAGCUAAGAAAGUACUAGGUAAGCUCAUGCUUAAACAAGUGACUAAAUCCACCCGUUUGGAGUUUCUCCACUUUUUACUAUGAAAUUUUGUUUUUAACAUUAAAUUAGAGCCUGCUAGAUAACUGUUUUAAUGUUGAAAAAUUUAAUGACCAGUAUUUUUUCAAUUUAAUGCUUUGAUAAUAUGCAUAAGUGCUUAGCUAAGGCAGGACUAAAGAAAACAAAAGAAAAGAGUUUUUAGAAAUGGAUAAAGCAAAUUGUGUAGCAGUGGGAUCUGCGCAUGUGGAAGGGAACAGGUUUCUAGAGGGAGGCCAAGGAUGAAGCAAGAAGUUGGGUAAUUGCUGGACAAUAAAAACCUUUUUUAUUUUAUGUUAUUUUUUAUGCAUAACAUUUAACUCAAAUUGUCUUAUGUAUUUUGUUUGAUAUGCUUUUUUGAGACUCACACUAUGGCUUCUGUAUUUAUGGGGAGCCUCCUA